rnacentral:rRNA from 1 species
AUGGCACUCGAAUCCAAGUCCUCGUCGAGGUGUACCACGGAGACGGCGAAGGGAACGCAUGUCUUGGAGAUCGUCGGGUACAGCCUCAAGAAGGGCCUGGGAAUCGGCAAGUUCGUCCAGUCGGCCAUCUUCACCGUCGGCGGCUACGACUGGACCAUCCGUUUCUACCCUGACGGAGCCAACAUGUCAUACGCCGAUUGCGUUUGCGUGUCGGUCUCGCGCGAGCCCACGGGCAGGGGGUUGGCGCGGGCAUCCUGUGAUCUGAGACUGGUUAACAAGGAUACUGGGUUGCCAAAGAGUAUUUGGUUUCUGUCUCAAGCAACCCCGACAGAGUUCGACUACGGUAAUCGUGUUUUCCCAGAAUGUGGAGGGUUCAUUGAAAGGAGUGAGCUGGAGCUGGAAGGAUCAGGCUACAUUAAGGAUGAUAGCUUGACAAUUGAAUGUGUACUCACAGUCAUCAAACAAUCGCAGGUGACAAAAACAACAGGGAGCUCUGAAAUAAAGGUGUCAUCGUCGAACUUAUCAGAUCAUUUCGACAAGCUGUUGUUAGAGGGGUAG